GGCCGGCCCCGCCGACGCCGGGAAAGCCCGCGCCGCCAUCUCGCCGAACAGCAUCGAGUUGAGCAUCAUUUUAAGCGGCGUCGCCCUCCCUUUAUCCUUCACUGAGGCAUCAAAAGACAUCUUUGGAAGCAGCCCCAUCCCUUUGAUAUGCCCAGAUGCAAAUAAAGGGAAGAAAAAGAACUGGGGGAAACAGCUGACACAAGUCCAGAGAUUUUGCUGUAGUAAUCCAGAAAAAGACACUGCCCCACCCUAGGCUUGGGGUGGAUUAACUAACAGAUGUGGGGUUGAACCCAAUCCUGGAAGGCCACAGAGGAAAACAAAUUCUCCUGGAACAUUAAAAUGCCUAGGUAAGCACAGCCAGGUUUAUAUAUGGUUUGUCCAUUUGAGAUCACCACCCACGUUAUUUUGUCUGGCUCCCAGUUGUUUCAACAGGUCUUGUACUAGAAUAUUUGGAUGGCCCUCUUCAGGGAUUAUUUAGCUGUGGUUCCAUCAUUGCACAGCAUUGGACUAGAUCAUCCUUAAUGUCCCUUUCAACUCUACAAUUCUAUGAUUCUAUUUUCCAAUAAACCGUGCCCCUAAAUUUUCCCAAUUUAAAGUACUAAUUCAGUUCUGCCAACUAUUCCAACUAGAGCCUGAGACCUGUCUGAUCUUGAAGCUGAUCUUCCAAAAGUUUUGCAUCUGUUCUGACUCAGUUUUAUUUUGCGGUUUCCAAAGCUGAGUUGUCAAGUUCAGGCAAACUGCACAGGAGCUGAGCUACCUAGAUAAAAGCAGGGGGUGGGGUGAGGGCCAUAGCUCGGUGCACAUGCUUGGCACAUCCAGGCAGCAUCUCCAAGUAGAACUGGAAGAGACCCCUGCCUGAGACCCUGGAGAGCUGCUGCCAGUCAAAGCAGACAGUACUGAACUAGAUGGACUAACGUUCCAGUAUAAGGCAGCUUCCUAUGUUCCAGACACUGAAGAAUUGUAUCAAACCAGAGCACCAACAUAGCUCACCUCUAAGGACUCACAAACAGACCUCCCAAGUAAGCUGUCGAGUCAAGUUAUCAUCUGUUAUACUGCCCAGGAGCUGAGCUGGCUCAAUCAAAGCUUGUUGGAGCAGCAACUCAUUUGCAAAGGUCACCGAGGGAACUGUGCUGGAUCUCACCGGCUACACGGCUCCUGACUACAAUCCUAUCUGCCUACACACCUUAGAUGUGAGCAGUGCGGCUUCUCUGGUGUCUAUUCUGCUCCUCAUUAUCUCUUUUGCUAGCAAAGCUCGGCAGAUCAACAAGCACAGAUCAGAACAUCCCACCAGACUAGAAAGGCAACAACAUGAACCAUCGAGAAUACUUCACGGAUUUGGAACUGCAGUCUGAAUCGGAGAACAAGAUUUGUGAAAAAUAAAACACCAUCUAGUGUUA